rnacentral:rRNA from 1 species
AUGCUUUCUGCUGAUAGAAAAUUUUCUGUUAAAUCUUUAUAUCUACAUCUCAUUAAAACUGAUAUGGGGUUCCCAAAAUUUUUUUUGUGGAAAACAAAAGUUCCAGCAAAAAUCAAGUUCUUAUGGUUGCUUGCUAGAAAAAGCAUUCUUACUAGAGACAAUUUACUGAGAAGGGUUUGGAAAGGUGAUGAACAUUGUGUACUGUGUGGCAAAGAUGAAACUAUUGAUCACCUGUUCUUUUCCUGUUCAAUUGCUAGAUUGAUCUCGAAUUUGGUGGUGUGUGCUUUUGAUUUAAAACAAAUCCCCAGAGAUUUAAAUGAUUGUUUGGGAAACUGGCUUAGUAAAUUUCAAACAAAUAACAAGAGGCUGAUCCUAGUUGGUACCUCUGCCUUACUCCGGGCUAUUUAG